UUAAGUCAAGGUAGAGAGUUUUGUUUGUAAGGACGAGUCAGGACACUCAGGCGGAGCGCUGUAGGACGUGGACUGGCCAGAGUGGACGAGCAGCUGCGACCGCAGGAAGGUUCUUGUUGGCUCCACUGCAGUGGACUGGACGGUCUGAGUGCUGUUACUGGUCAGUAGACGGUCUCUUUCACGAUGUUGGUGGAGAAGGUCUGGUUGCUGCAGAUGCUGAUGGAGUGCCUGGUAUUGUAACGCCGGGGAGCGAGGAGGCGGACGCAUAUGCGGAGACGAGCGACUUUUAUUCCGGGCAAAUCCAGCGUCAUAGUCCAGACCUUCCAGGUUCGUUAAGCCAACACGGAUUGAACGGGGUGCAGAUGUGACGGACAAACCAGAAUCAAACAUGAUCAAACAUCCAAACAGU